GAUGAACGCUGGCGGCGUGCCUAAUACAUGCAAGUCGAGCGAACGGACGAGAAGCUUGCUUCUCUGAUGUUAGCGGCGGACGGGUGAGUAACACGUGGAUAACCUACCUAUAAGACUGGGAUAACUUCGGGAAACCGGAGCUAAUACCGGAUAAUAUUUUGAACCGCAUGGUUCAAAAGUGAAAGACGGUCUUGCUGUCACUUAUAGAUGGAUCCGCGCUGCAUUAGCUAGUUGGUAAGGUAACGGCUUACCAAGGCAACGAUGCAUAGCCGACCUGAGAGGGUGAUCGGCCACACUGGAACUGAGACACGGUCCAGACUCCUACGGGAGGCAGCAGUAGGGAAUCUUCCGCAAUGGGCGAAAGCCUGACGGAGCAACGCCGCGUGAGUGAUGAAGGUCUUCGGAUCGUAAAACUCUGUUAUUAGGGAAGAACAUAUGUGUAAGUAACUGUGCACAUCUUGACGGUACCUAAUCAGAAAGCCACGGCUAACUACGUGCCAGCAGCCGCGGUAAUACGUAGGUGGCAAGCGUUAUCCGGAAUUAUUGGGCGUAAAGCGCGCGUAGGCGGUUUUUUAAGUCUGAUGUGAAAGCCCACGGCUCAACCGUGGAGGGUCAUUGGAAACUGGAAAACUUGAGUGCAGAAGAGGAAAGUGGAAUUCCAUGUGUAGCGGUGAAAUGCGCAGAGAUAUGGAGGAACACCAGUGGCGAAGGCGACUUUCUGGUCUGUAACUGACGCUGAUGUGCGAAAGCGUGGGGAUCAAACAGGAUUAGAUACCCUGGUAGUCCACGCCGUAAACGAUGAGUGCUAAGUGUUAGGGGGUUUCCGCCCCUUAGUGCUGCAGCUAACGCAUUAAGCACUCCGCCUGGGGAGUACGACCGCAAGGUUGAAACUCAAAGGAAUUGACGGGGACCCGCACAAGCGGUGGAGCAUGUGGUUUAAUUCGAAGCAACGCGAAGAACCUUACCAAAUCUUGACAUCCUUUGACAACUCUAGAGAUAGAGCCUUCCCCUUCGGGGGGGCAAAGUGACAGGUGGUGCAUGGUUGUCGUCAGCUCGUGUCGUGAGAUGUUGGGUUAAGUCCCGCAACGAGCGCAACCCUUAAGCUUAGUUGCCAUCAUUAAGUUGGGCACUCUAAGUUGACUGCCGGUGACAAACCGGAGGAAGGUGGGGAUGACGUCAAAUCAUCAUGCCCCUUAUGAUUUGGGCUACACACGUGCUACAAUGGACAAUACAAAGGGCAGCGAAACCGCGAGGUCAAGCAAAUCCCAUAAAGUUGUUCUCAGUUCGGAUUGUAGUCUGCAACUCGACUACAUGAAGCUGGAAUCGCUAGUAAUCGUAGAUCAGCAUGCUACGGUGAAUAUGUUCCCGGGUCU
rnacentral:rRNA from 1 species